rfam:Kangiella koreensis DSM 16069, complete genome.
UAGCAAUUCAAAACAGGACGUUUUGAAUAGUAAAAUUCGGGCCAGGGAUGGAACGUAUUUUACGGUGCGUUAAGU